rnacentral:rRNA from 1 species
GAUGAACGCUGGCGGCGUGCCUAAUACAUGCAAGUCGAGCGAACAGACGAGAAGCUUUCUUCUCUGACGUUAGCGGCGGACAGGUGAGUAACACGUGGAUAACCUACCUAUAAGGCUGGGAUAACUUCGGGAAACCGGAGCUAAUACCGGAUUAUAUUUUGAACCGCAUGGUUCAAUAGUGAAAGACGGUUUUGCUUUCACUUAUAGAUGGAUCCGCGCUGCAUUAGCUAGUUGGUAAGGUAACGGCUUACCAAGGCAACGAUGCAUAGCCGACCUGAGAGGGUGAUCGGCCACACUGGAACUGAGACACGGUCCAGACUCCUACGGGAGGCAGCAGUAGGGAAUCUUCCGCAAUGGGCGAAAGCCUGACGGAGCAACGCCGCGUGAGUGAUGAAGGUCUUCGGAUCGUAAAACUCUGUUAUUAGGGAAGAACAAAUGUGUAAGUAACUAUGCACAUCUUGACGGUACCUAAUCAGAAAGCCACGGCUAACUACGUG